GAUGAACGCUAGCGAUAGGCUUAACACAUGCGAGUCGAGGGGCAGCAUGGUCUUAGCUUGCUAAGACUGAUGGCGACCGGCGCACGGGUGCGUAACGCGUAUGCAACUUGCCUCACAGAGGGGGAUAACCCGUCGAAAGACGGACUAAUACCGCGUACACUUGGGAUAGGGCAUCCUGACCCAAGGAAAUGAAAGUCGCUGUGAGAUAGGCAUGCGUCCCAUUAGCUAGUUGGUGAGGUAACGGCUCACCAAGGCGACGAUGGGUAGGGGAACUGAGAGGGGGAGGCCCGACACGGGGACCGGGAAAAGGAGGAGACUCCUACGGGAGGCAGCAGUGAGGAAGAUUGGUGAAUGGGCGAGAGCCUGAACCAGCCAAGUCGCGUGAAGGAUGACUGUCUGAUGGAUUGUAAACUUCUGUUAGACGGGAGUAACAGGAGCCACGUGUGGGUCCCUGAAUGUACCGUAUGAAGAAGCAUCGGCUAACUCCGUG
rnacentral:rRNA from 1 species